GCCCCGAUGGCUCAGCGGAAAAGCGUGUCACUCGUAUAACAAGAUUCACGGUUCAAGCCCGCGUCGGAGCU